UUAGAGUUUGAUAGUGGCUCAGGAUGAACGCUGGCGGCGUGCCUAAUACAUGCAAGUCGAACGGGUGUAGCAAUACACUAGUGGCGAACGGGUGAGUAACACGUUGGUGACCUGCCCUAAAGAGGGGAAUACCACUUCGAAAGGAGUGACAAAACCGCAUAAGCUGAUGCUAGUUAGAGAGGCAUUAGUAAAAGAGCAAUCUACUUUAGGAGGGGCCUGCGGCCCAUCAGCUAGUUGGUGAGGUAAAAGCCCACCAAGGCGAAGACGGGUAGGGGACCUGAGAGGGUGAUCCCCCACAAUGGAACUGAAACACGGUCCAUACACCUGCGGGUGGCAGCAGUAGGGAAUAUUGCUUAAUGGGCGAAAGCCUGAAGCAGCAACGCCGCGUGAACGAAGAAGGCCUUCGGGUCGUAAAGUUCUUUUACGUGGGAUGAGGAAGGACAGUACCACGAGAAUAAGUCUCGGCUAACUACGUGCCAGCAGCCGCGGUAAAACGUAGGAGACGAGCGUUAUCCGGAUUUACUGGGCGUAAAGCGCGUGUAGGAGGCGCUACAAGUUGGAUGUGAAAGCUCCCGGCUUAACUGGGAGAGGUCGUUCAAGACUGUAGAGCUAGAGUGAGGCAGAGGUAGAUGGAACUCCGGGAGUAGUGGUGAAAUGCGUAGAUAUCCGGAAGAAACACCAGAGGCGAAAGCGAUCUACUGGACCUAAACUGACACUGAGACGCGAAAGCCAGGGUAGCAAACGGGAUUAGAGACCCCGGUAGUCCUGGCCGUAAACGAUGUAGACUGAGCGUUGGUUGGAUAAAACCGAUCAGUGCUGAAGCAAACGCGAUAAGUCUACCGCCUGGGGGGAGUACGGUCGCAAGAUUAAAAUUCAAAAGGAAUUGACGGGGGGCCCGCACAAGCAGCGGAGCGUGUGGUUUAAUUCGAUGAUACACGAAGAACCCUUACCAGGGUUUGACAUACAAGUGGUAGAGAAGCGAAAGCAGAUCGACCCUUCGGGGAGCUUGAACAGGUGCUGCAUGGCUGUCGUCAGCUCGUGUCGUGAGAUGUUCGGUUAAGUCCGCUAACGAGCGCAACCCUUGUUGUGUGUUACACGUAUCACGCAAGACCGCCGGUAGAAAACCGGAGGAAGGUGGGGAUGACGUCAAGUCAGCAUGGCCUAUAUAUCCUGGGCUACACACACGCUACAAUGGUCGGUACAAUGGGUCGCUAAGCCGCGAGGCGGAGCCAAUCCUAAAAAGCCGGCCUCAGUUCAGAUUGCAGGCUGCAACUCGCCUGCAUGAAGAUGGAGUUGCUAGUAACCGCAGGUCAGCGAUACUGCGGUGAAUACGUUCCCGGGCCUUGUACACACCGGCAGGACACGUCAUGGGAGUUGGCAACACCUGAAGUCGGUAUCCUAACCGAAAGGGGGGAGCCGCCAAAGGUGGGGUCGAUAACUGGGACGAAGUCGUAACAAGGUAGGGCUACCGGAGGUACCCUGGAUCACCUCCUUU
rnacentral:rRNA from 1 species